AACCGUGGUAAUUCUAGAGCUAAUACAUGCUAAAAACCCUGACUUCGGGAAGGGUGUAUUUAUUAGAUAAAAAACCAAUGCCCUUCGGGGCUCUUUGGUGAUUCAUGAUAACUUAACGGAUCGCAUGGCCUUGCGCCGGCGACGGUUCAUUCAAAUUUCUGCCCUAUCAACUUUCGAUGGUAAGGUAUUGGCUUACCAUGGUUUCAACGGGUAACGGGGAAUUAGGGUUCGAUUCCGGAGAGGGAGCCUGAGAAACGGCUACCACAUCCAAGGAAGGCAGCAGGCGCGCAAAUUACCCAAUCCCGACACGGGGAGGUAGUGACAAUAAAUACUGAUACAGGGCUCUUUUGGGUCUUGUAAUCGGAAUGAGUACAAUUUAAACCUCUUAACGAGGAACAAUUGGAGGGCAAGUCUGGUGCCAGCAGCCGCGGUAAUUCCAGCUCCAAUAGCGUAUAUUAAAGUUGUUGCAGUUAAAAAGCUCGUAGUUGAAUCUUGGGCCUGGCUGGCCGGUCCGCCUCACCGCGUGUACUGGUCUGGCCGGGCCUUUCCUUCUGGAGAACCUCAUGCCCUUCAUUGGGUGUGUUGGGGAACCAGGACUUUUACUUUGAAAAAAUUAGAGUGUUCAAAGCAGGCCUUUGCUCGAAUACGUUAGCAUGGAAUAAUAGAAUAGGACGUGCGGUCCUAUUUUGUUGGUUUCUAGGACCGCCGUAAUGAUUAAUAGGGAUAGUCGGGGGCAUCAGUAUUCAAUUGUCAGAGGUGAAAUUCUUGGAUUUAUUGAAGACUAACUACUGCGAAAGCAUUUGCCAAGGAUGUUUUCAUUAAUCAGUGAACGAAAGUUAGGGGAUCGAAGACGAUCAGAUACCGUCGUA
rnacentral:rRNA from 1 species